CAUUCGCGCCCGCCGUCCUCGCCCCGGACCCCGGACCCCGGACCCCGGACCCCUCGGACCCCUGCUAAGCACUGAGGAUUUUGACUCAUGCAAAACUGGACUUCACAGCUCCUUGAUUUCUAGUAAACUAAUGUAAGACGCAUUCUUAACACCAGGGCUAAUGGGAUCUAAACCUAUAGGGUUUCUGGAGAUGGGGUUCAUCUGGGAUCCUGGAGGGCCGCCUUGGAAACAGACCUGCCUCCCUGUGUGAGCAGAUAAGUGGGAGAAGUACAGAGGCUGGGCCUGGCGACAUACGUGGAAACUAAUCUCUCCCCCAAAUUCAGGAUAAGGCGUUUGUCCUCUCUUUU
rnacentral:lncRNA from 1 species